GGGGCUGUAGCUCAGCCAGGUCAGAGCGCUAGCCUGUCACGCUAGAGGUCGCGGGUUCAAGUCCCGUCAGCCCCGCCA
rnacentral:tRNA from 9 species